CAGACUUCAAAGCCAUGAAGGCUGUUAUUCUUUUCUCAUUAACAUUGGUGCUAGUCAGCACUAAGUCAAUUCCUCAUGAAUGCAAGAGGAUCCAACUGGAGGAAAUUAAUACAGAACUCAACAAGACAGACCCUAAGAUAUUCACGAACCAGUUUGUUCCAGAUGUGAUCAACUAUGAAAAGUGCACGAAAGAAGAUUUCUGCAAAGCUUGGAAAAUUACAUCAAAUACCCUUGGGAGAAAUGCAACAAUUUCCAGAUUGUUCAGGACAUACAGUCAGGGGAAAGACUGCAAAGUCAUAGAGAGUGGAAAUGAGCUGCAGAUGAAAGAACUUUUGAAACGUAUGAGACGUUGCGUUCAGAAAAUAUACAUUAACAUGUGUUAACACAAUGGCCUAGCAGUGGUCAUUAUCUGUUUCUUGGGCACUGCAUGUUUGCCAUGUUCCUCUAUUAUUUAUUAAGAUAUCUCCAUUUAUUUAUCAUGUUUUGCUGUAUUUAAAUUAUUUAUUUUGUUCCUAUUUAUACAGAGAAGAAUAAAGUUUACUAGGCAAUCAA